CUCUACGAUUGAUGGCUCAGUGAGGCGUUUGGACUGGCUCGGGGAGGUUGGCAACGACCACCCCAAGCCGGAAAGUUCUCCAAACUCGGUCAUUUAGAGGAAGUAAAAGUCGUAACAAGGUCUCCGUAGGUGAACCUGCGGAGGGAUCAUUACACAAUAACAAGGCGGGCUGGACACCCCCCGCUGGGCACUGCUUCACGGCGUGCGCGGCGGGGCCGGCCCUGCUGAAUUAUUCACCCGUGUCUUUUGCGUACUUCUUGUUUCCUGGGUGGGCUCGCCCGCCCUCAGGACCAACCACAAACCUUUUGCAAUAGCAAUCAGCGUCAGUAACAACGUAAUUAAUUACAACUUUCAACAACGGAUCUCUUGGUUCUGGCAUCGAUGAAGAACGCAGCGAAAUGCGAUACGUAGUGUGAAUUGCAGAAUUCAGUGAAUCAUCGAAUCUUUGAACGCACAUUGCGCCCUUUGGUAUUCCAAAGGGCAUGCCUGUUCGAGCGUCAUUUGUACCCUCAAGCUUUGCUUGGUGUUGGGCGUCUUUUGUCUCCAGUUCGCUGGAGACUCGCCUUAAAGUCAUUGGCAGCCGGCCUACUGGUUUCGGAGCGCAGCACAAGUCGCGCUCUUUGCCAGCCAAGGUCAGCGUCCAGCAAGCCUUUUUUUCAACCUUUGACCUCGGAUCAGGUAGGGAUACCCGCUGAACUUAAGCAUAUCAAUAAGCGGAGGCACAAGAAACCAACCGGGAUUGCCCUAGUAACGGCGAGUGAAGCGGCAACAGCUCAAAUUUGAAAUCUGGCUCUUUUAGAGUCCGAGUUGUAAUUUGCAGAGGGCGCUUUGGCUUUGGCAGCGGUCCAAGUUCCUUGGAACAGGACGUCACAGAGGGUGAGAAUCCCGUACGUGGUCGCUGGCUAU
rnacentral:rRNA from 1 species